GUACCAAAAAAAAUUAUUCAAAAGUAGUUAAAAAAAUUUUUAAUUUUAAUUUAAUUAUGAGAAAUAAUAAUUAAUUAAUUAUAAAAAUACUAUUUAUUUAUUAUUUUUUUUGGUGGCACAGAAUCGGAGGCCCCGACUGUUUACUAAAAACACAACACAGUGCAAUCAUUAGUAUGGUAGUAUACUGUGUGAAAUUUGCCCGAUGCCAUUAAUAUAAAAGAAGUUAUGGAUUAUUUAUAAUCUUGUGACUGAUUGAAAGUCUGGUUAAUAGCGGUCUUAACUAUGAGGAUCCUAAGGUAGCAAAAUCAGUUGGCCAUUAAAUGUGGUCCGGUAUCAAUAAUGUAACGAUGGUCUCACUGUCUCUACAACUUGCUCAGUGAAAUUGAAUUACGCGUGCAGAUGCGCGUUGCCUCCAGGGGGACGGGAAGACCCUAUGCA
rnacentral:rRNA from 1 species